CACCAUGCCCGGCUAAUUUUUUGUAUUUAGUAGAGACGGGCUUUCACCAUGUUGGUCAGGAUGGUCUUGAUCUCCUGACCUCGUGAUUAGCCCGCCUUGGCCUCCCAAAGUGCUAGAAUUAUAGGCGUGAACCACCACACCUGGCCUUGAUCUAUUAAUAUGUCCUAGGAGCUACAGAAUUAUAUUCAUGAACUUUAAAUGACUUCAGUCAAGUCACUUUUCUAAGUCUCAUUUCUCAUCUGUAUAAUGUGAGUGAGAGGUGAGGGGUGGGUAGGGGAUAUUGAGUAGGUGGCUACCUGUGAUCUCUACAUUGGGUAGAGGGCUGUGUUCACUAGAGUUCCAGAUUUUCUGUGAUUCUAAGAAGCCUUUGGAAUCUUGGAGUGAGUAUUCCCAGGGAACUCUGAUGUACUGAAAAGCUCUCCUACAUUGUUGAUGUCAGCUGUGCCUGAGGCUUUUUAAUGGGUCAACAGACUCCAAAGGGAACUCCACCCUCCCCUUUUCCCACUGGGGUAGGUGAGGCUGGAUCAGAACAGGGUAAUUGAGUUCUCCCUGUGGAGUUUGGGGUCAUGUGAGCACAGCUCCUUGAUCUCAUCUCAGAUGGCUCCAGGGAAGUACCCAAAAUCUCUCCUUUGGGAGGUAGGAGAGAAUGACUCAGGAAAAGGGAAGUCAAAAGGAAGUUUAUGAAGUGUGAGAAUGGGAUUGUUAAAUAAAUCCAAGUCUGGAUACUCCUGGAGGGAGGUGGUAUGGGGUACAACACUGGGCUGGAACCCAGAAGACCCUAUGUAUGUGUCGGCCAUAACUUGCCAGGAGACUCGGGAAGUACCUUCACCACUGGGAUUCAGUUGCUUCAUCUUUGAAAAGAGGGGGUUGGCUUAACUGAUCUGUAAGUAUCUUCUAGAUAGGAUAUGAGGUUGGUGCAAAAUUAAUUGUGGUUUUUGCCAUUGAAAGUAAAGUAAUAGCAAAAUCCACAAUUACUUUUGAACCAACCUCAUAUUUUUAGGAUUCUAGAUGCCUGUGACUGAGUGGACUACUUCUGAGUCUCGGUUUUUACUUCUGUAAAGAGACAAUAACAAGAGUAACUUCGUCAUAGAAUUAUUGUGAGAAUUAAAUGAGCUUAACAUGGCAUUUCUACUUUAUUCAUUCAGUGCUCUCAUUUAAUGAUUACUCAUUAGACUUCUACUUUAAACCAGACUCUAUGCUAGGAGAGGAUGGAUAAUUCAUACAGUUGAACUAGGUAUUUUAGAUGAACCUUCACAGAGGUGAAGAUACCUUCACAGAGCUAGGAGUCUUGUGGGGCACACAGUGAACGUUUAAAAAUGGAAGCUAUUUUUAUGAGGCAUUUCUGUUAUUGAAUAGUCAGAUCAAAUACCACUGUCUAAAUAAUGGCAAAUGGCAGGGGAAAAUAUUCCAUGGCAUGGUGACAUUCUCAAGAGAAGCUAUCCUCUGUCCCUGGUCUAAAUUAAAGAUGACACGUUCAAAUAUCUUCAGAGCAAAGCAGAUAAUAUAAGUUAAUACAGUGGGUUGGAUGUCAGAAAAUCUAAAAGAGGGGAUUAAGACGAACUAGAGUUUGCAUGCAUUCUCUAAAGUGGAAAGAUGCUAGUCAACUCUCCUGCCUACUGCUGUCACGUGAGAAUGUGAGUCUAAAGUUGCCAGAACUCACUAUUUUCCAGCAGAAGCCAGGAAUCCAGAUUUUCACAUAAAAAGCAUCCAGAUUUCAAGUGAUAGCCACUUAUUCAAAUAUUUAAAAACAUUAUGUAGCCACUGGUUUGCUAUCUCUAAGUUAAAGCCAAUAUUUCAGAUAAGCAAGAGUAUUGUAAUUGUGUUCAUUUUCAAAAAGGAAGGUGAGGGGAAAGUAAAGGGGAUGAAUGAUUAUUGGCUAUCAUCUACGUGCCCCAGGCAUCUUACAGAUAACAUAUAUCAUUUCAUCUGUUGCUCACAACAAUUCUAAGAAGCACCUGUGUUUAGUUCUGAUAUUUUUCCCUGAUGCAAUUCACAUAUGGAAAAUGUGUUUUGAGAAACACUGGUAUGGACAGAUAUGAGUGGCAGCAUAAGGAAGAUUGAAUAUAGGGGCAAGAUAAGAGGCAGGACAGCCUGGUGAAGAAGUCAUAGUGGAAAUACACAAGGUGCCCCUAGUGGGGAGAAAAACAAGGACAGAUUCGAGACAAAAUGAAGAAGUAAUUAAUCUAUAUUUUUCAAAGUUCAUCAAUAAUGUCUGAGAGGGGAAUUUUACCUCCCUUCCACCUCCCCAUGUCAGAUGGAGGAGGAAGGGACUUUACAACUGUACCCCUUUUCUUAUUUUCUCUCUUCGCCCUCAGGCUAUUUAAUGGCUGUGUUCAGACCAAAGUCAGCCAUCCCUCCAAGUGGACAACAGAAACUAAACCCUAGUCCUAUAGCCUGGAUCUCCUAGUCUACACCUCGAUGCCACACAGAAUAAUUUCUCAGAGCAAUGAACUUCUAUAUUAAAGAUUACUCUGGUCAGGCAUGGUGGCUAAUGCCUGUAAUCUCAGUACUUUGGGAGGUCAAGGUGGGUGGAUCACUUGAGUCCAGGAGUUUGGGACCAGCCUGGGCAACAUGACAAAAGCCCAUCUCUACCAAAAAAUACAAAAGCUAGCCAAGAGUGGUGAUGCAUGCUUGUAGUCCCAGCUACUUAGGAGGAUAAGGUGGAAGGAUUGAUUGAGCCCGGGAGAUAGAGGCUGCAGCGAGGUGUGAUUGGGCCCCUGCACUCCAGCCUGGGCAACAGAGUGAGACCCUGUCUCAAAAAAAAAAAAAAAAAAAAAAAAAAAAAAGGAAAGAAAGAAAAAGAAAAAGACUACUCAGCCAUUCUUCCUGAUCCCCUGAUCCACGGGCUUCUUGCCUCUGGCUGUCAUUACACUGGCAAUGAGCAAUAAAGAAAUGUAGAUUAAAUGGUCAGUAGAUGUAAAUUCAAUUCUUAGCUCCACACUUAUAAGAAGUUUGACCUUCAACUAUCAACUUCAAAAGACUUAUCCUCAACUCCCUCAUCUGUAGAUGUAGAUAAUAUUGUCCUCCUACUUGGAAGGACUAAUUUGUAGAUAAAAUAAGAUAAUGGAUUUGAAGGUCCUUCAAUCCAUACUUCAUAGAGCAGCCAGGGUGAUAAAACUUUUACUCUUUACCGUGACUUAAACCACUCUAUAAUUUCACCCCUCCUAUAGUCCCUUCUUUUUAAAUUCCAUACUCAGAAUUUAAACUGCAGCCCCACUGUCCUUUUAUUCCUUAAGGCCACUGUGCGUGCUGUUUCCUCUACCUGAACCGCUUUCGAUCCCACCCGCCCCUCAAUCUUCACUUCAUUUCACUACUUCCUGUUCGCACUUCAGGUAUAUUGAGUGCUUACUAUGUGCCUGGCAAUGUACUAGGCACUGGGGAUAGGGUGAUUAAAAAAAGAUAAACAUAACAACACUUCAGAGAAGCUAAUAUUUUAGUGAGAAAGGCAAAUGCUACAUCCCUGCCUUCACCAACCAAAAUAUAUUGAGAAUUGUAAUAAGUGCUACCAAGCUAGGAAUAGUAUAGAAUGCUAAAAGUUCAUAUAGUCAAUGAGAGGGCCAAAUCUAAUCUAAGGAUUCAGAUAAGUGACAUUUAAACUGAGACCUGAGUGUACAGACCCAAGUGGGAAAGAAAAUCUGUAGCAUCAAUACUAGAGAGAAGAAGGAGGUAAGUGCAAUUGUUCAAACCUUGUAUGAUGUGUCAAAAAGUUUUCAUUUGGAAGUUAGAAGAGUUAUGAAAGUUCUUAAAAGGUUUAAAUUAGAAGAAUCAUAGUUAUAAAUAAGAUACCUAUUCAUCAAAUAUUUAUUGAGUGUCCAUGGUAUGCCAGCUACUGUGCUAGAUAUGAUCAAAUGUAUAUUUUAACAGGUAACUCUGGCUUUAGAGUUGAGAAGUGAAAGGGAGGGAAAAGUGGCUAAUGAGAGGACUGUUUAAAAGACGAUCGCAGAAGAUGUUGAGUGGCUUAGAUUAGGCAAUGGAAAUAAAAAGGAGCCAAUUUAAGAGAUAAUGGGGAUCAAAGCAAAAUAGCCUGGUUAUAAAUUGAACACGAAGGUGAACAAGAGAAAAGAGUUAAAGAUAACUGCUUUAAGAAACUUAGUUUAUAAAGGCACCAGCUAUAUAGAGUAAAUGAGCAAUUGGAAAGGAGCAAACUUGUAGGGAGAUGAUAGCAAAUCCAGUUUUGAAUGUGUUGAGUUUGAAUUGCUUGUGAGAUAUCAAAUUACAGAUGCUUAUAGUCAGUUGAAUAUAAUUAGGGGGUUCCGAAGAAUGAGGUGGAGACCCAAAUGUAAAAGCAAUGACUACACUGAUUGUCAUGAUUGGACUAGAUGUGGUAACCCAGAGAGAGAUUAAAUUGAGAAAAGAAUACACAGGACCAAGACAUAAGGAGCUUCGAGAUAAAGAACAGGUAAAUGGACCCUGUAAGAGAGGGUAAGUUGGUGUUAGAGAGUUAGAUACCAAACCAGGAAGGUAUAGUACUGAAGAAACCAAGGAUAGCAAAUGUUUCAGACCCUGUAGAAUGCAUAGAGAUAUGAAGUAAGUUUAUGACCCAAAAAUGUCAUUGGAUUUAAUGACAGAGUUCACAAAUGUUCAUGGAGAAAAAUGUUUUAGUAACUUGGUGGUAGCAGAAGACAGAGGGGAGUAAGCUGAGGAAUGAAAAGAUGAAGUGAACCAUUGUAGGCUAUACUUUAAAAGGUGCGUUUAUAAAGAAAAGGAAAGAGAUCAUUUUGAUGCUGGAAGAUGCAAUGUUUUGUUUGUGUCUUUGUUCUAAGAAGAAAAAUUUAUAAGCAUAUAAAUGAUGUAAAUAAUCUACUAGAGAAGGAGAGAUAUAAAAUAUAGGAUAUAAGGAGAGAGAUUAUAUGUAGAUUCCUAAUAAUUUAGGAAGGCAUAAGAAAUACUGCAAUGAAAAGAUUAACUUUAGAAAGAAAGGAGGACAUCUCCUAUAUUAUAUCAGGAGGAAAUGGGGAGAGUGUGCAUGAAAGAUGUUAAAUUGUUUGGAGAAAAAUUACACUACUCCAUUAUUGUUCUUAAUGAAUAAAGGGAAAAUAGGGUAUUAUGGGUUUAAGAAUGAUGAAGGCUGAGUGUGGUGGCUCACACUUGUAAUUCCCAGCACUUUGGGAGGCCAAGGCAGGCAGAUUACUUGAGCUCAGGAGUUCGAGACCAGUCUGGGCAACAUGAUGAACCCCUGUCUCUACCAGAAAAAAACAAAAAAUGAGCUGGGCAUGGUGGCAUGCACCUAUAGUCCCAGCUACUCAGAAGGCUGAGGAAGAAAGAUUGCUUGAGCCAGGCAGGCAGAGGUUACGGUAAGCCGAGAUCACACCAGUGCACUCCAGCCUGGGUGAUAGAGCGAGACCUCCAUCUCAAAGAAUGAUGAAGAAGAAUGUAAGUUGACAGGAGAAACCUAGUAAAAUUGAAUGGAAGCAUGAAGAGCCCAGUUAACAUUGAUGACUGAUGAUACAUUGAUGACAAUAUUCAAAACUGUGUUUUUCUGUAGCUGCGUGACUGUACCAUCACAGAAGAUGGAGAGUUGCAUGCAUCCAGUGCAGGUGUUUGACUAAGUAGGGAAAUUAAAAGACCGAAAGCCAAGGGAGAUCGAGAGGCUGAUACAAGCAGUGAUUGAAAUAUGAACCAUGGACUCUAUCACAGACAGAAAAGUUGGAACUGAUAGAUGGAGAAAAAGGAAUGCUACCAAGCAACAGAAAGUCCUAAUGAGUUAAAAGGCAUGGCUGGAGUGGGAGAUCUAUAAACUGACAGUAUAAAAGAUCAUAGUCAAAGAGUGGGAUGUUAGAACUGAAGGUUUUUUAUGGAACAAUAUCAUGUGAGAACAAAGUCUACAGUGUGGCCCAGGAGUGGGUGGCUGAGGCAGAAUAGAGAAAUGGUCACUGGAGAUGAGCAGAUCAAGGAAGUGAGAGACUGGAUUGUUGGACAGAAAAUCCACAAAAACCCUGACCUUACCUAUUGUGAUGGCAAGAACCCAAACGAAGAGAAAGCUCCAAACCAGGAACUUAAAAUACUUAAAGAACCAGUUUCAGUUGAGGCAAGAGGAUGAAGGUUGGAUUCAGCUUGACUUCCCCUUUUGGGGAAUAACAAUGUCAUAGACACAAGAUCCAGAAGGGUCCUGAGACACGAAGCUGGUCCUCACAACUCUGCAUAGACUAGGAGGCCCAAAGAACAGAAACAUUCACUACACAAAGUUGCCUGCAUUUGGUCCUGGGUUCAAGCCACCAACUUCUGUCAUUUUAUUAGAAAAGAAGCAUAACAACAGCAUUUACUGAGAGGGUGUUGGAGCCAAAAAGUAGAAAUGAAACAAACAAGCUUUUCUGGCAGAGAGAAAGGAUCUGCUGGAAGGUCAGACAACCACAAGACCAGAAUUACACAUGACUCUUCUGAGGGCAGCAUGAACAGAAAAUGCUCACAGGAUUGGAAGUCAGAAAACCUGAGGGCUAGAAAGAACCAUUCAGAUCUACAGAGUAUUUUACAGCCUUCAAAACACUAAAAGUCUCCUAAUUUUUCUACAGACAUCUGUGGGGAAAGUUACCACCACCCAUUUCCCAGAUGAGAAAACUGAGCCUUGGAAAAAUAAAAAAUAUUUCCAAGGGUUGAAGUCACGUCUUACUUCAAAUUCAGCCUUGGUUAUGUGACCUGAAAAAACUCAGUCCUCAGCUCUGUUCUUAGUUUUACUAUCUGUAAAAUAAAGAGGUUGAUUUGUAAAACAAACAGGAUAUGAUUUUAAUAGCCCUAUCUGCUCAUAAAUGCUAUGUCAUUGUGUGCCACUGGUAUGGAGUGCAAGAUAUGUAUAUCUUUCUCCUCCCAGUAUUAAAUUUAAGGAGUAAAACUGGCAUUGUCUCUGAAUGGGAAACGAAUUUCAGGUCACAGCAUGCCUCUUCCAACCUCAAAAGAUUUGCUUUAU